GACGUAGGGCGCGAGCGUUGUCCGGAUUUAUUGGGCGUAAAGAGCUCGUAGGCGGCUUGUCGCGUCGUCCGUGAAAACUUGGGGCUCAACCCCAAGCUUGCGGUCGAUACGGGCAGGCUAGAGUUCGGUAGGGGAGACUGGAAUUCCUGGUGUAGCGGUGAAAUGCGUAGAUAUCAGGAGGAACACCGAUGGCGAAGGCAGGUCUCUGGGCUGACACUGACGCUCAUGCACGAAAGCGUGGGGAGCAAACAGG
rnacentral:rRNA from 1 species